AAAUUAUUGUGUGUAAAUUUUGUAUAUAAAUUUCGCUUCACAGAAAUCUUUUACCAGUUCUACUAUCUUCCAGUCUUCUUGCAAGAUGAAAGCCUUUUGGGUGUUCGUUGUGGCCAGCGCUCUUGCUGUUGUCUUGUGUCAGGACGAUUCUAAUGACCCGGAGCUACAAGCUGUUCGGAAGAAGCUGCAAAAGUUGGAACUAAUAGAAAAGCUAAUAGCUGCAAUUAAUGAAAAGUUCGAACAGAGG